UGAUCAUACUCGGGGCACUACUCCCCAUCUACUGUGCCAUCCCAAGCCAGAAGUUGUCAAAUGUCAGCGAGGAGCUGCAUUUCUAUCAUAACUUUUACUGCUCUGUAAAUGUACUGUCAGUUCUGCAAACAUUUUGUUUUAAUACUGAAAGAAGAAUAAGAUGUGAAAAGCAUUAUAUGCUGAACUCAGUAGAGUUGCACAAAAGAUCAUCUGGGUCUGGAUAGACUGAUGGACAGUUGUCCACAGAGGGACAAAAGAGUAAACUAUCUUUUACUAUCUAUGCUGUGUGAAGGGAAAUGCUUCUGUAAACAUGUGAAGUUUGGAUCUGGAAGUCUUCCUUCUAAAUCAAUCUUGUGAUACCUUUCUAAGGAAAUCAAGUGUAAGGUUAAUACAACUAUUUUAACAAGUCCUCCAUUUUUGCAUCAGGAUAUUAAAUCAAAUAUUUUAGCCACAUGCCUGUAAAAUGUACUUGAGAAGAUGUUUUAUUUUCCCUUUGCAAGCCUCUUGACCAUGCCAUGAGCAGUGUUUUGC